rnacentral:rRNA from 1 species
UACGUAGGGGGCAAGCGUUGUCCGGAUUUACUGGGCGUAAAGAGCGUGUAGGCGGCCAAGCAGGUCCGUUGUGAAAACUGGAGGCUUAACCUCCAGACGUCGACGGAAACCGCGUGGCUAGAGUCCGGAAGAGGAGAGUGGAAUUCCUGGUGUAGCGGUGAAAUGCGCAGAUAUCAGGAAGAACACCAAUGGCGAAGGCAGCUCUCGUGGGACGGUACUGACGCUGAGACGCGAAAAGCGUGGGGGAGCGAACAGG